GCAUGUGUGUGUGCACGUGUGGGUGUAUCUGCUGCUGGUUAGACAUUAAAAGCUGGCAGACUAUCGCUGUCGGCCAUGUUGAAUUCUGAAGUGUGAGAGGUAAAUUACCUUGUAGUUAGCCUUGUGUCCUGCUGAGGACCCAAGAGGCAUCUCAUGAGGGUCCCAUCUGCACUCCGAGGGGACCAAACACCUAUUCUGGUAGAGCCUCCAGGCCUCUUGUUUCUGUGGCUUUCCCUCACAAUAAGGCUUAGGUUGGAUUGAAUGGUCCUGUUCUGAAGCAAUCGCCGG
rnacentral:lncRNA from 1 species